rnacentral:lncRNA from 1 species
GUCUUUCACAUUCAACUUGGCCAUGGUUUCAGCUUGAGACCUUGGACUGCUCUUCAAUUUUUCUUUUAGGACUAACACAUGGGUGAGUGAAAAGGGCUAACUCACUUUCCUGGCUUUUCUGGAGGUACUAGCCUCUGGAGAGGCCCCUUGUCUUGGGAGAGGCCUCAUGGCUAGAACCUUUGCUUAAAUUACCCCUGGAUCCUUUUGCUUGAGCCUCUGAAGCCCUGCCUGGUUUGGAACCGGCCAGAGUAAGUAUCUAUUCUCUCUUAGUUUGUUACUUUUACUCUUUCCCUCUAUUUUAUAAACAAAUUGCUAUAAAGUCAUUCUGAAUUGAGUAAUAAUUUUGAAGACCAUAGUCUUAUCUAACAUGUUUUUGUUUGUUUUUAACUCUUAUAAGCCAGAAAGAAAAAAAAAAGAAGACUGUGAAGCAACAAUCAGGAUAAAGGAGGACUUAUCAGCUUCCACACUAAAUGAUCAAAAGCUCCAAAGUGUCUCCCUGUGAUGUGCUUGCAGGGUUCCGGCUGCUUUAUGACAGACCUGGUGAAACCUGACGGAUUUAUUGCAAUAUGAGACCAUGGCAUAUUUAUUGGCUAGAAUCCUUUUCUCCAGAUUCAGAUAGCAGAGGGUUGCAAGUCACAAACAUGGAGCAAACUGUGGGGAAUAUGACUUGCUGAGAGAAUGAUAAUAAAAGGUUAGCUGGCA